UCCCAAACUGGAGAGUUUUCUAUCUGGGU
rnacentral:piRNA from 1 species